AACGAACGCUGGCGGCAGGCCUAACACAUGCAAGUCGAGCGGACCUUUCGGGGUCAGCGGCGGACGGGUGAGUAACGCGUGGGAAUAUGCCCUUUGGUACGGAAUAGCCUCGGGAAACUGAGAGUAAUACCGUAUGUGCCCCUCGGGGGAAAGAUUUAUCGCCAAAGGAUUAGCCCGCGUUGGAUUAGGUAGUUGGUGGGGUAAUGGCCUACCAAGCCGACGAUCCAUAGCUGGUUUGAGAGGAUGAUCAGCCACACUGGGACUGAGACACGGCCCAGACUCCUACGGGAGGCAGCAGUGGGGAAUCUUAGACAAUGGGGGCAACCCUGAUCUAGCCAUGCCGCGUGAGUGAUGAAGGCCUUAGGGUUGUAAAGCUCUUUCAGCUGGGAAGAUAAUGACGGUACCAGCAGAAGAAGCCCCGGCUAACUCCGUGCCAGCCGCCGCCGUAA
rnacentral:rRNA from 1 species